GAUUUCGGCCAGCAUUGACUCCCCAACCCGGAAGGUAGGUAAGACAGCUGAUGUUGAGAGCAAGCUGAAUUCUGCCUCUGCAGCGCACUCGUCCCAUUUUGUCAGGAUGCCUUCACUGGUGGGGAUCUUUGCUGAAUGUAGUCCUCCCCCCGGGCCGGAUGCGUCCUGUGGGCAGGGACCCUCAGCUGAGUUCAGUGUCUGGCAUUGAGGAGUGACUCAAUAAUGAAUUUGUUCACAAAGUCAAAGGGCUCGCUCUUGCUCAUUGGAGCUUUGGGUCUUUGUUUCCUUCCAGUGACACUGUAGUAACAACAGCAAGCACGUACUAGGAACCGGGGCACGCACUGCUCCGAGCCCUUUGCAUCAUCAGUUACCUCCAGGUGGCAGGUGUAGCCUGUCAGGAGGACAAGGCUGAACAUGAAGGUCCCCAGGGCUUGCUCCCAAGUACCCAGCAAAGCCCACUCCAUUCAUUCUCUCUGGUCUCUGAAACCUGGCAGACCAGGCAAGUAUUCUUCCUGUUUGUACGCUUAUAAAAGGUUAAAUUCCAAACUUGUUUAAAGUACUUCAUAAUGAAACCUGAUUAAAAACCUAAUGAAAUAUAAAAUAGGGUCAAGUCCAGAGAGAGAAAACUAUUUAAGAACCAGAGGAAGCUCUACUUAAUUUUGUUGUUAAGCUGGUGAAUUCAUUCGAGGUUUGCACAGUUACCUUCAAGGUCAGCGCUUCUGGGAACAGCAGGGUUUGAAAAGGAAGUUUCCUGAGUAAAUAUUUAAUGUCAGAUAGAGCCAUGCUUCUCAAAGUGGGGUUUACCUUCAGAGGUCAGCAGCACCUGGGAACUUGUUAGACACACACAUCCUCUCCAGGUCCCCACAGCCCUGCUGAAUCAGAAACCUUGAGGGGAGAUCCUGCAACCUAUGUGUUAAUAAGCCUUCCAGGAGAUUCUGAAGUGCUUCAAGUUUGAGAACCACUAAAUACGUAAAAGGGGGGAAAAACCCUUUUACCAAAUGUGAAAAAGGGUAAGGUUGUGGAAUACCCACGCAGUCCAUUCAAAGCAGUGUGAGAAGUUUAGGGCAUUUCCUGUGAGAAAUGGAAUAUUUCUUGACAUCAGCUAACAAGCAUGUCACAGUCAUCAACGAUUUCAGCCCUCCCUGUGAGCUAGUGAGCCUGAGGAGACUCAGGAUACUAAAAUGUAGGAUAUUGGUCCCAGAUAGAUGAGGUACAUGUCAAAGGAAUGACUUCAGUGAGCCCCAUACAUAGAAAAGUGCUAAGUUCCUUAACCUGGGAUAUCUGGUUUUCUUUAAAUGACAAUCAGCUUUUGGUGUUUUUGACAUAACUUCUAUAUAACCUGGCUUCCCCCACCACCCACCUCCAUGCAGUUCCCUCAGUGUUAACUUGAGAUGCUGUCUCCUGUGCUUAAAGUCCUAAAAAUUCCCACCAAAUAAAACAUAACUCUCAA